rnacentral:lncRNA from 1 species
GCCAAAUCUUAAAAGACAAUCAACAAAUGAUCCAAAUGCUGGAACUGUCACUAAAAGAGUUUUAUAAGUUUAAAGUAGCUAUUAUAUCUCUGCUUUAUGAAGUAAAGAAAAAGAUACUUGAAGUGAAUGAAAAAAAACAGGAAUUCUUAACAGAGAAAGAAAAGUGAUACAAGAACAAAAUAGAAAUGUUAUUAAGUAAACAAAAGUUAAAAUAAAAACACACAAAACCUUCACUAGAUAGGCUCAAUAGAGUAUAGAGGACAAGAAAAAAAGGAGUGAACUUGAAAAUAGUCCAGUAGCAAUUAUGCAAAAUAAAAAGGGAAAAACUAUAGAAAAAAAUGAACAGAGCCUCAAGAAACUGUAGUAUAAUAUCAAAAAAUCUAACAUACAUGUAACUGGAGACCCAAAAGGAGAGAACAAAGACACAGAGACAGAAAAGGUAUUUAAGGAAAUUAAUGGCUGACAUUUUCACAAAUUUGGUAAAAGACAUAAUAAAUUUAUAUAUUCAAGAAGCUCAGAGAACCCAAAAUGAGAUAAACUAAAGAAAAACACACUUAAACAUAUCAUAAUCAAAGUACCAAAAACUAAAUAUAAAGAAAAAAAUUCUUAAAGCAGCAAAAGAAAAACCUAUACAUUACUGACAGAAACACUAAUUCAAAUAACAAUGAAUUUCUUCACAGAAACCAUUGAGUCCAGAGAGAGUGGACCAACAUAGCUUUAAUGUGCUGAAAUAGAAGAACAAUUGGUCAGGAAUUGUAUAAUAAACAAAUAUAAGGAUAUUUUCAUAAAAGGAAACAGACUCUGUCAGCAGCAGACAUGCUUGAGAAGAAAUGGUAAAGAAAAUUCACAGAAGAUCAUAUUAUACGAUUCUAUUUAUAUGAAAUGCACAGAGCUGUCAAAUCCAUAGAGACAGGAAGUAGAUUAGUAGAUUAGUUGUCUGGAGCUGUGGAGGCAGGAAGAGGUAAUGGGAAUGACUGGUAAUAGGCAUGGAGUUUCUUUGGGGGGAUGUUGAAAUGCUGUAAAAUUAGGUGUGGUGAUGACUGCACAGUUCUGUGAAUAUACGGAAAACCACUGAGCUGUAUUCUUUAAGUGGGUGUCUUUUAUGGUAUGUGAAAUAAUAUCUCAAUAAAACAGUAAAAAAAAAAAGAAAAGAAAACCCAAACACCUAACGUAUGAGUUUCCUUCAUAUGAAGGCAAAUCUAAUAAUCUGUAGUGCUUAGGUGUGAAUAACUGGGUAUUAAAAAGCUAAGGGAAAAAAAAAACAGAAAAUGAUUGCCCUAAUAGAUAAGAUAGUAGUUAGCCUCAAGGUUACAAUAAGAAAGAAUAUGGGCAGCUCGUGGCAAUAUUUACUUCUUGACCUGGGUGGUGGUCCUACGAAUAUUCACUUUCAAAUAAUUCAUUAAGCUAUAUAUUUAUGUUCCAUGUUUUUUAUAUGGUAUAUUUCAUAAUUUGAAAGAUUUAAAAAGCAAAAUAAAACUAUAGAAAGUACUAGAGAAAUACCUUAUUUUUAAAUAUCAAGAAACCAUAAAUGAAAACAGUGACAGAUCUAACUAUAUAAAAAUUAUAAACAGGAAAAGUGAUAACUCUCAAUACUGGCUAGGUUACCAAGAAAUAGGGACAGCCUCAGGACGUGGGUAAUAAUGUAAACUUUAGGGCUGUUUAGUAAUAUGCAUCAAAGCCCUCAAAUAAGUGCACACCCUCUAGCAAGACAAUUAUUCUACUUCUUUAGGAAGUAAUCAAAGAUGUGAAUAAAGACUUGACUACAAGGAUGCUUAUAACAAUGAUAUUGCAUUAUUUAUAAGUAAAACUUUUAAACAGCGAUUUAGUAGCUAAACUGGUUCAUUCAUCUACAUAGUCACUAAAAGUAAUCUAUAAAAAUAUUCACUAAUAUUCAAAGAUUUCAGAAUAUACUAGUAAAAUGACAUUAUAAAGAAAUAUUAUCAAUAUUAUUUUAUCUUUUAGAAACAUACAAAACAGGUGAUGUGGAAGUUUUAUACUGAAAUAUAAAAGUGGUUUUCUUCAUGGGAAGUAAGGUGAGAUUAUUGGUGACUUCUAUUUUCUUCUUUUUUAGUCUGUAUUUUCUAAUUUUUUCAUAAUGGAGGAUUAAGUUACUUUUGAAAAGAAAUAAACAGUUGACAGUAUCUGCCCUUAAGAUGAGGUGAUGAAAGUCUCUGUGGUCUUUCUCCACAAAACCCAUGAGAAAAACGUAAUCAUAAGAAAAACGUCAUAUUCCAAUAGACAAGCUUCCUACAAAAUACUUGGCCAGUAUUCCUUACGACUGUCAAGGUCAUCAAAAACAAGUAAAGUCAAGAGAAA